UACGUAGGGUGCAAGCGUUGUCCGGAAUUAUUGGGCGUAAAGAGCUCGUAGGCGGUUUGUCGCGUCUGCUGUGAAAACUCGGGGCUUAACCCCGGGCCUGCAGUGGGUACGGGCAGACUAGAGUGCGGUAGGGGAGACUGGAAUUCCUGGUGUAGCGGUGAAAUGCGCAGAUAUCAGGAGGAACACCGGUGGCGAAGGCGGCCAACUGGACCAUUACUGACGCUGAGGCGCGAAAGCGUGGGGAGCAAACAGG
rnacentral:rRNA from 1 species